rnacentral:rRNA from 1 species
GGACACACGCUAGCGGCGUACUUAACGAAUGCGAGUCGAGCGACGAAAGGGAACUUCGGUUCCCCUGAGAGCGGCGAACGGGUGAGUAACACGUAGGUGACCUGCCCCGGAGCCGGGGAUAGCCCGCGGAGACGUGGGGUAAUACCCGGUACGCUCAUCGGCUUAGAUGCCGAUGAGGAAAGGAGCGAUCCGCUCUGGGAUGGGCCUGCGGCCCAUUAGCUAGUUGGUGGGGUAACGGCCUACCAAGGCGACGAUGGGUAGCUGGUCUGAGAGGAUGUCCAGCCACACUGGGACUGAGACAUGGUCCAGACUCCUACGGGAGUUAGCAUCGGGGGAUAUUGCGCAAUGGGCGAAAGCCCGACGCAGUGACGCCGCGUGCAGGAUGAAGGCCCUAGGGUCGUAAACUGCUGUCGGGUGGGAUGAACGUUGAGGGUAAUGCCUUGACUUGACAGUACCACCCAAGAAAGCCCCAGCUAACUCUGUGCCAGCAGCCGCGGUAAUUCAGAGGUCCCGAGCGUUGUUCGGAUUUACUGGGCGUAAAGGGAGCGUAGGCGGUUUGGUGUGUCGAAUGUGAAAGCCCACAACUCAACUGUGGAAUGGCAUUCGAAACUACUGAGCUAGAGUACUGGAGAGGAGAGCGGANNNNUUGGUGUAGCGGUGAAAUGCGUAGAUAUCAAGAGGAACACCGGUGGCGAAGGCGGCUCUCUGGACAGAUACUGACGCUGAGGCUCUAAAGUUAGGGGAGCAAACAGGAUUAGAUACCCUGGUAGUCCUAACCAUAAACGGUGUACACUUGGUGUGCGAGGAAUUGUCCCUUUGCGCGCCGCAGCUAACGCGAUAAGUGUACCGCCUGGGGAGUACGGUCGCAAGAUUAAAACUCAAAGGAAUUGACGGGGACCCGCACAAGCGGUGGAGCAUGUGGCUUAAUUCGAUGCAACGCGAAGAACCUUACCUGGACUUGACAUGCAAGUAGUAGGAACCUGAAAGGGGGACGAUCCGUAGCAAUACGGAAGCUUGCACAGGUGCUGCAUGGCUGUCGUCAGCUCGUGCCGUGAGGUGUUGGGUUAAGUCCCGCAACGAGCGCAACCCCUGUGGUUAGUUGCCCUUAUUCAGUUAGGCACUCUAGCCAGACUGCCUGUGAUAAGCAGGAGGAAGGUGGGGAUGACGUCAAGUCAGUAUGGUCCUUAUGUCCAGGGCUGCACACGUGCUACAAUGACCGGCACAGAAGGAAGCAAUGCCGCGAGGCGGAGCUAAUCCCCAAAACCGGUCCCAGUUCGGAUUGGAGUCUGCAACCCGACUCCAUGAAGCCGGAAUCGCUAGUAACGGCGUAUCAGCUACGACGCCGUGAAUACGUUCCCGGGUCU